rnacentral:rRNA from 1 species
UACGUAGGGUGCAAGCGUUGUCCGGAUUUAUUGGGCGUAAAGAGCUCGUAGGCGGCUUAGUAAGUCGGAUGUGAAAACUCGGGGCUCAACCCCGAGACGCCAUCCGAUACUGCUGUGGCUUGAGUCUGGUAGGGGAACACGGAAUUCCUGGUGUAGGCGGUGAAAUGCGCAGAUAUCAGGAGGAACACCGAUGGCGAAGGCAGUGUUCUGGGCCAGUACUGACGCUGGAGGAGCGAAAGCGUGGGGAGCAAACAGG